rnacentral:rRNA from 1 species
CCUACGGGAGGCUGCAGUGGGGAAUAUUGCACAAUGGGGGAAACCCUGAUGCAGCGACGCCGCGGGAGUGAAGAAGUAUUUCGGUACGUAAAGCUCUAUCAGCAGGGAAGAAAAACCGGCCUUAGGGCCGCCAGACGGUACCUGACUAAGAAGCCCCGGCAAACUACGUGCCAGCAGCCGCGGUAAUACAUAGGGGGCAAGCGUGAUCCGGAUUUACUGGGUGUAAAGGGAGCGCAGAAGGCAGCGCAAGUCUGGAGUGAAAUGCCGGGGCCCAACCCCGGAACCGCUUUGGAAACUGUGCAGCUGGAGUGCCGGAGAGGUAAGCGGAAUUCCUAGUGUAGCUGUGAAAUGCGUAGAUAUUAGGAGGAACACCAGUGGCGAAGGCGGCUUACUGGACUGUAACUGACGUUGAGGCUCGAAAGCGUGGGGAGCAAACAGGAUUAGAUACCCUAGUAGUC